AUCAGCAGGAUGACAUGGGGAGUUGCGGCUUAAUAGCCUGUAGGACGCCAGUGCCAUGGCCAAGCCCCAUUUACUUGACAUCAUUCUCGAGAGAACUUGCUUUUUUAAAAUGCCAAUCUGCCCAUGAUUGCUGAUCACAUUUAUUUUAGCUACUUCCCAUUAACCCAGUCCUGGAUCGGGACGAAAUCGAGAACGGCGGCUUAACAAAAGAUUGAUUCGGAUUCGCUUGCAGAGUUGGAAAGCGGAACUCACAGGACUCUCUCACGCAGCCCGAUCCUAUGUAGGUGAUCACUGGAAAGAACAAGUUCCAAGCGAAUGCGCACUGAGCGCAGCCUGGGAAACGGGAGGCGACUUUACCCUGCUGAGGAGGAUUCUGUCUUAAAAGGCAUGUGGAUCGCACCUUUGUUCUGAUGAGACGACCCUUUUCCUCUCCCCUUCGCUUCCCUCCCCCGCCCCAGCUUUCAACACUGCAAGGCAUUCCCACUCCUCCCAAAGCCUAAAGGAAAAACGGAAGUCGCCAAGAAAAACAACAAACACGGAUCGCCACGUCCCCUCCAGCCGGAGUCUCCCCUGCAGCAUUUUCCAACGCUCUUGACAGCAGACCCUGAUGAAUAACAGCCAUCCUUCACUUGCUAAGCAAAAGGCAAGCCCCCUUAUCUUCCUCUCUCCCUCCCCCCGGUAAAACAAAACAGAUCGCUUAAUCAUAAAGAGGAGACGUUGGCGCAUAAUAUAGAGAGAGCCACAUGCGUGCGCGAGUCUGUGUGCUCGCUGUAGGUUCUUGUUACCUGGGGGUGGGGGGGACGGAGCAGCCUGACUGGGGUCCCCCACAUUUCUCCCCUCGGGGGGGAAAGGAAAGAGCCAUCCGCUUAUGACGGGGGCAGGAAUCGCGGUCUUGACACCGAGCGUGCACAACCACGCGCGCUUCACCUUUAGGAGAAGCGCUCUGGGAGCGCUUGGCCCUGAAAGGCGGCCGGCAGAUAGCGGAAGGAGUGCCUCGCUGCAGUCCUCACGCCCUUACCCCGGCAAGAAGCUCCACUGACCCCCGUGAGUCUUACUUCUUGAGUAGACACGGCGAGGACGCUUUCACUCCCCGCGCUCCUUCAAGCGAUACUUUCCGAAGCGGCCCGGAGAGUUAAGCCUGGCUCGACCAGCUACUGGAAAAGUUUCGGCGCAUCGGCUCAGAAGAAAGCAGCUGGCUUUGUUGUUUUGUCCCCUUGUUUCAGAUCUUACAGGAGGAGGAGAAAAGUGUAUUUAUUGGAUUAUCACUGCAAAGCUCAGAAACUGAAAUUUAUACGCUGGUGGUUAAUACGUGCAAUAAAAUAUCACAUCCCACCUCGUCGCACGGCUCUACCUGCUAGCCGCGUAAUAUUUUACAGUAUUUCAGCCAAGAACUAUACACAUCUUUGGGGAAAGGAAGGGGAAUGUUACUGAACGGAUGCCAGUCAAAAACACAGCCCCAAGAGACGGUUUCCAUGUGUGGCCGAAGAGAGCAGGGGGCGAAAAGAUUCAAGGACCACACCAUCGUAAGGACUGUUCCUCAUGCCUCAAUAGGACUGGCUACCAUGCUGUUAGGUGUAUCCGGGAGUUGAGAGGACAUGGAUGCUACCUCACUUCCGGUUGAAUUGGAACCUGGGCCUCCUUCUGAAAAAUUAACCUGCCAAACAUUUUUUUGGAAGGAGAGAAAAAAGAAAAAGUUUACAAAAACAAAAAAAGGAAAUGGAAAUAUGUUUCUCUGGCUUUCAAACUAUUAUUGCACUCAUUGUAAAUUGCUCAGGGUAGAGACUUUAUAGAGAGAACUAUG